CUCAACAUAGGUGAGAUCCUCUAUGAUCUCCACCUCUGGUUCCUUUAAGAACCUCACUCGGACCCGACACGAACUCAUAUAUCGUGGAAACAUGGAAAAACAGAUGGAUCUCUUCCAUUGAAGUAGGUAAAUCUAACUCGUGGGAUACAUUCCCAAUCCUUUGUAGGAUUUCAAAGGGUUCAAUGUAUCUGAGAGCUAAUUU
rnacentral:lncRNA from 1 species